AUUGAACGCUGGCGGCAUGCUUUACACAUGCAAGUCGAACGGUAACAGGCCUUCGGGUGCUGACGAGUGGCGAACGGGUGAGUAAUGCAUCGGAACGUACCCAGAGGUGGGGGAUAACGCAGCGAAAGCUGUGCUAAUACCGCAUGUGAUCUGAGGAUGAAAGCGGGGGACCGAGCAGCAAUGUUUGGCCUCGCGCCUUUGGAGCGGCCGAUGUCGGAUUAGCUAGUUGGUGGGGUAAAGGCCUACCAAGGCGACGAUCCGUAGCUGGUCUGAGAGGACGACAAGCCACACUGGGACUGAGACACGGCCAAGACGCCUACGGGAGGCAGCAGUGGGGAAUGUUGGGCAAUGGGCGCAAGCCUGAUACAGCAAUGCCGCGUGCGGGAAGAAGGCCUUCGGGGUGUGAAGCGCUUUUGGCAGGAACGAAACGGUGUCCGCUAAUACCGGGCGCUAAUGACGGUACCUGCAGAAUAAGCACCGGCUAACUACGUG
rnacentral:rRNA from 1 species